rnacentral:lncRNA from 1 species
CUAAUGUUUCAAAAAAGACACUCAGACCCCUAUUUCUUAAUAGUAAAUUAUAAUUUUACCAUUAUACCCUUAUAGCAUAUUAAAAAAUAAUUGUUCAUUAUCCAAUUUAUUUCUAUAUUAUUAAUAAAAUUACGAAUAUAACUUCAUUACCCAAUUUUUCCAUUUAAUUUUUAUCAAAUUUUAUCUUCAAACUAAAUAAAUUUAAUCCAUUGCUCAAAAAUAAAAA